rnacentral:rRNA from 1 species
AACGAACGCUGGCGGCAUGCCUAACACAUGCAAGUCGAACGAGACCUUCGGGUCUAGUGGCGCACGGGUGCGUAACGCGUGGGAACCUGCCCUUAGGUUCGGAAUAACUCCCCGAAAGGGGUGCUAAUACCGGAUAAUGUCUUCGGACCAAAGAUUUAUCGCCUUUGGAUGGUCCCGCGUUGGAUUAGCUAGUUGGUAGGGUAAAAGCCUACCAAGGCGACGAUCCAUAGCUGGUCUGAGAGGAUGAUCAGCCACACUGGGACUGAGACACGGCCCAGACUCCUACGGGAGGCAGCAGUGGGGAAUAUUGGACAAUGGGCGAAAGCCUGAUCCAGCAAUGCCGCGUGAGUGAUGAAGGCCUUAGGGUUGUAAAGCUCUUUUAUCCGGGAGGAUAAUGACAGUACCGGGAGAAUAAGCUCCGGCUAACUCCGUG